rnacentral:rRNA from 1 species
GACGAACGCUGGCGGCGUGCCUAAUACAUGCAAGUUGAGCGAUGGAGAUUGGUGCUUGCACCAAUUUGAAGAGCAGCGAACGGGUGAGUAACGCGUGGGGAAUCUGCCUUUGAGCGGGGGACAACAUUUGGAAACGAAUGCUAAUACCGCAUAACAACUUUAAACUUAAGUUUUAAGUUUGAAAGAUGCAAUUGCAUCACUCAAAGAUGAUCCCGCGUUGUAUUAGCUAGUUGGUGAGGUAAAGGCUCACCAAGGCGAUGAUACAUAGCCGACCUGAGAGGGUGAUCGGCCACAUUGGGACUGAGACACGGCCCAAAAUCCUACGGGAGGCAGCAGUAGGGAAUCUUCGGCAAUGGACGAAAGUCUGACCGAGCAACGCCGCGUGAGUGAAGAAGGUUGUCGGAUCGUAAAACUCUGUUGGUAGAGAAGAACGUUGGUGAGAGUGGAAAGCUCAUCAAGUGACGGUAACUACCCAGAAAGGGACGGCUAACUACGUG